rnacentral:rRNA from 1 species
GGCGGUGAUUUAGUCUUAUUAGAGGAACCUGUUUUUUAAUCGAUGAACCACGUAAUAUCUUACUUAUUUCAAUGGUUUGUAUACCAUCAUUUACAGGUAAUUUUAAAAGAAGAAAUUAUAAAAUUAAUUAAUUAAGGAAAUUAGAUCAAGGUGCAGCUUAUAAGUAAGUUAAAAUGGGUUACAAUAAGAUUUAUUUACUACGAAUAUGUUUAGUAAGAUAAAUAGUGUGAAGGAGGAUUUANUUGUAAUUANAGUUUAAUAAGCUAGGAUGAUAAAAGCUCUAAAUCGUGU